GAGAAGAAUAUAAGGAUAGGUAAAGGGAGAUAAUUAGUCUUUGAUGUCUUAUUUCAGGAGACGAGAGACGCAUGCGCAUUGAACGUGGUUUCUUCAUGACGUUAACUUCCGGGUCAAAUGUACCAUUGAAUGAAUUUCUUUUAAUCAGCUGAUAAUAAUAAUAAUACGUUUAUAAUACUUAAAAUACGUACUUAUAAUGCAUUUCUCAACUGCCAUAUACACACAUAUAUAAACAACACAGUCCUUUAUGAAACAUUUGCAACGUCAGAUGACAGAAGAAGAAUCCUAAAUAUCUAUAAUGUUUGAAAGACUAAAGGAAAAUAUUAUACAAAACUGUUUCUGCAAAUUUGAGGAAGAAUUCUUGUGAAACAUUUGCUCUGAAAUAACAUUUUAGUCAAAUUUCUAAACAUCACAGACUAGUGUGUCAAGAACUGAAGCAUAUGUGCCACUGGAACUUGGAUAAAUUUACGGAUGUUUUGCUAAACAAAGACAACAGUAGAAGGAAAUAGAGGAGAAGAAGUGUAAGGAAUAAAGUAUAAAAACAAGAGCAAGAAAAAUAUAUCAACUUGGAUUUGAGAGGAAAAGAAAUAGGAAAGAGAGAGAAAAUUAUUGAAUUGAUUUUCCCCUGAACACAUGAGAAAAUAGACGAGAUCAUAUGACUGUGAUAUCUGUACAAAGUCGUUCUC